AUUGAACGCUGUCGGCAGGCCUAACACAUGCAAGUCGAACGAGUGGCGGACGGGUGAGUAAUUACUGCGACACUACCCGAUGGAGGGGGAUAACUACUGGAAACGGUCGCUAAUUCCGCAUGCCCUCGGAUGUGCCCACGUGGGAUUAGCUUGUAGGUGAGGUAACGGCUCACCUAGGCGACGGUCCCUAGCUGGUCUGAGAGGAUGACCAGCCACACUGGAACGGAGACACGGUCCAGACUCCUACGGGAGGCAGCAGUGGGGAAUAUUGAACAAUGGGCGCAAGCCUGAUGCAGCCAUGCCGCGUGUAUGAAGAAGGCCUUCGGGUUGUAAAGUACUUUCAGCGGGGAGGCGUUACUCGCAGAAGAAGCACCGGCUAACUCCGUGCCAGCAGCCGCGGUAAUUC
rnacentral:rRNA from 1 species